GGCAGCCGCGGUAAUUCCAGCUCCAAUAGCGUAUAUUAAAGUUGCUGCAGUUAAAAAGCUCGUAGUUGAAUUUCGGGACCAUCAUGUCGGUCGUGCCUCGGUACGUACUGGUAUUGUUGGUUUCUCCCUUCUGACGAACCAUGAUGUCAUUUAUUUGGUGUUGUGGGGAAUCAGGACUGUUACUUUGAAAAAUUAGAGUGUUUAAAGCAGGCUCACGCUUGAAUACAUUAGCAUGGAAUAAUGAAAUAGGACGUUUGAUUCUAUUUUGUUGGUUUCUAGGAUCGACGUAAUGAUUAAUAGGGAUAGUUGGGGGCAUUAGUAUUCAAUUGUCAGAGGUGAAAUUCUUGGAUUUAUUGAAGACUAACUACUGCGAAAGCAUUUGCCAAGGAUGUUUUCAUUAAUCAAGAACGAAAGUUAGGGGAUCGAAGACGAUCAGAUACCGUCGUAGUCUUAACCAUAAACUAUGCCGACUAGGGAUCGGAUGAUGUUAAUUUUUAAUGACUCAUUCGGCGCCUUAAC
rnacentral:rRNA from 1 species